GACAGAGGGUGCAAACGUUGUUCGGAAUUACUGGGCGUAAAGUGUGCGCAGGCGGCAGAGCAAGUCGAGUGUGAAAGCCCCGGGCUUAACUUGGGAAUUGCGCUCGAAACUACUUUGCUGGAGUGUGGCAGAGGAAGGUGGAAUUCCACGUGUAGCGGUGAAAUGCUUAGAUAUGACAUAGAACACCAAUUGCGAAGGCAGCUUGCUACACGGAUAUUGACUCUGAGGCACGAAAGCGUGGGGAGCAAACAGG
rnacentral:rRNA from 1 species